rnacentral:lncRNA from 1 species
AUUAUUUUGUACAUGUGUACUUAUUUGUACAUGAAUUUACACUGGAAGUGUGCAGUGCAGAGGCAGCACAACAGGUCUUAAGUUGGAUCCUCCAAUUUCUAGCUUUGUGACUUCAGAAAUGGAGAUGGGGCUCAGAGUCCCACAGCCUCCCACUGGCAGGCCCGAGUAUCAUCUGAAGCCACCCAGCUCUGUGCCUGCCUGCAGCCCCAGACCUCCAGCUUUCUACUAACGUCAGCAUUGCCUGCCCUGGGGCAACCCCUGUUUCUCCAUGUGUCUCCUCUGGGUCUGGUCAUGAUGCCUGGGGAGCCAAUGCUGCUUUGCUGUGUUGUAUCAUUUGGGAUCAACUUGCCUGACUCUUACAAAGGACUUGAAACCUUGGGGAGAUAAAUAAAAUUCAAGAUACCUCAGGCUCUCAGCAAGUCACAAGAAAACAAGAAAACAUGAUGCUGUCUGAGCAAUUGGUACAGGAAGCCUGGACACAUUGCUGAGGAAAUCAGAACUUCUUUGCAAAAGAUGGUGACAAUCUGUGGCCAAGAUGCUGCCGGGAGAUGAUUACAGGCACAGGAGAGGAGUUUCAGGCAGUUCCACUAAGAAAGUUCCCAUCUCAAGAGGAUGCUGUUUGAUUUCUUGUUAUUCACCAUCCGUGUGAUCCAUGGGGGGAAGAAAAGGUAUUAAAGAAGAGAAGCAUAUUAAUGUUAUUACUCCUUUCUAACUUUACAGAGUGGCUACUCUUUUAAAUUCUUUUGAGACAAACACCUGAAAGAAAAUGUUGAUAUGUGAGAUAAGCAAUAAGCAGUGUUUGAAUACAUGCAUAUGUUAAAGGACACCAUUAAAAUUAAAAAUAACUCUAGAAAGGAAACAAAG